UGGGGAAUUUUGGACAAUGGGGGCAACCCUGAUCCAGCAAUGCCGCGUGUGUGAAGAAGGCCUUCGGGUUGUAAAGCACUUUUGUCCGGGAAGAAAUCGCACCUGAUAAUACCGGGUGUGGAUGACGGUACCGGAAGAAUAAGGACCGGCUAACUACGUGCCAGCAGCCGCGGUAAUACGUAGGGUCCAAGCGUUAAUCGGAAUUACUGGGCGUAAAGCGUGCGCAGGCGGUUGUGCAAGACCGAUGUGAAAUCCCCGGGCUUAACCUGGGAAUUGCAUUGGUGACUGCACGGCUAGAGUGUGUCAGAGGGGGGUAGAAUUCCACGUGUAGCAGAGAAAUGCGUAGAGAUGUGGAGGAAUACCGAUGGCGAAGGUAGCCCCCUGGGAUAACACUGACGCUCAUGCACGAAAGCGUGGGGAGCAAACAGG
rnacentral:rRNA from 1 species